GAUGAACGCUGGCGGCGUGCCUAAUACAUGCAAGUCGAGCGAACGGACGAGAAGCUUGCUUCUCUGAUGUUAGCGGCGGACGGGUGAGUAACACGUGGAUAACCUACCUAUAAGACUGGGAUAACUUCGGGAAACCGGAGCUAAUACCGGAUAAUAUUUUGAACCGCAUGGUUCAAAAGUGAAAGACGGUCUUGCUGUCACUUAUAGAUGGAUCCGCGCUGCAUUAGCUAGUUGGUAAGGUAACGGCUUACCAAGGCAACGAUGCAUAGCCGACCUGAGAGGGGGGAGCGGCCACAGUGGACGUGAACCCGGGCCCGGCCCCCGACGGGCGGCAGAAGGAGGGAUUCUUCGGAAAGGGCCAAAAGCCUGACGGGUCAACGCCGCGUGAGGAAGAAAGGUCUUCGGAUCUAAAAACUUUUUUAUGAGGGAAAAACAUAUGUGAAAGAAUCUGUACACAUCUGGCGGGGACCUAAUAAAAAGGCCAGGGCUAACCAGGUC
rnacentral:rRNA from 1 species